rnacentral:lncRNA from 1 species
AUGCUGACAUUCUGGGUCUUUUUCAAAUCAAUUGCCAGAGAAACGUUUUUCUUCUCCUGCCAAAUUAAUCCAGCUUCUGGUCCAUCUUGGUCCAACGUGAUCUACAUCAAAAGAAGGAUGACAAGGCUGGAUAUCCCUGUGGUUUUUAAUGUAAAGAAAAGCAAAGCAAACUGCUUCCACUAUAGUUUUUGAUAAAACCUUCCUGGCCUUGUGUAUCCACCAUAAAAUAAAAUAAAA